rnacentral:rRNA from 1 species
UACGUAGGGUGCAAGCGUUGUCCGGAAUUAUUGGGCGUAAAGAGCUCGUAGGCGGUCUGUCGCGUCUGCUGUGAAAACUCAGGGCUUAACCCUGAGCUUGCAGUGGGUACGGGCAGACUAGAGUGCGGUAGGGGAGACUGGAAUUCCUGGUGUAGCGGUGAAAUGCGCAGAUAUCAGGAGGAACACCGGUGGCGAAGGCGGGUCUCUGGGCCGUAACUGACGCUGGAGGAG